CCCUUAGAUGUUCUGGGCUGCACGCGCGCUACACUGAUGCGUUCAACGAGUGUACAUCCUUGCCCGUUAGGGUUGGGUAAUCUUUUGAACACGCAUCGUGAUGGGGAUAGAUUAUUGCAAUUAUUAAUCUUCAACGAGGAAUUCCUAGUAAUGGUGAAUCAUCAGUUCAUCGUGAUUACGUCCCUGCCCUUUGUACACACCGCCCGUCGCACCUACCGAUUGAAUGGUCCGGUGAAAUCUCGGGACGGCGGCUUGGUCGCUUGCGUCCGACUGCUGAAACUUGAUUAAACCAUAUCAUUUAGAGGAAGGUGAAGUCGUAACA
rnacentral:rRNA from 1 species